rnacentral:rRNA from 1 species
CUGAAUAACUAUGCAGAUCGCACGGUCUUAGUACCGGCGACAUAUCUUUCAAAUGUCUGCCUUAUCAACUAGAUGGUAGUUUAUGCGCCUACCAUGGUUGUAACGGGUAACGAGAAAUUAGGGUUUGAUUUCGGAGAGGGAGCCUGAGAAACGGCUACCACAUCCAAGGAAGGCAGCAGGCACGCAAAUUACCCACUCCCGGCACGGGGAGGUAGUGACGAAACAUAACGAGGCGAUUCUCUACGAGACUCGCCAUCGGAAUGGGUACAAUUUAAAUCCUUUAACGAGGAUCUAUUGGAGGGCAAGUCUGGUGCCAGCAGCCGCGGUAAUUCCAGCUCCAAUAGCGUAUAUUAAUGUUGUUGCGGUUAAAAAG